UACAUGAAUAAAUAAAUAAUACUUACUAUUUAAGGAUAAAUACAUGUGUGUGUGUAUAUAUAUAUAUAUAUAUAUGAAAAGAAGAAGAAAAAAAAGAGAGAGAGAGAAUAGAAAGGAAGAAACAAAGCAAACGAAACAGAGAGAGGGGAAGGAAAGAAAGAAAAAGAGAAAAGAAAGAAGAAAAGGAAAAAUUAAAGGUGUGAAGCUUGGAAGUUUAAUAGUGUUGACAAGCCAGCUCGGAAAUCGGAAAAGGUCGGAGGCACGUUCACACUAUCCGUAUUCCAUCUUGGCAUAAUGGCUUGUAUAUUUUGAGUAUGGCAUGUAUAGCAUUAUAAUCAUUUUGUGUAUAUGGUCUUAUGAUAUGGUUAUUGAGUGGUAUGGAAAUGCUUGAUAAUGAUUAGCCAUUGGAAUGGCUAAUCAUGAUCAUAUUUGGUGUUAUGUAUGCUAAAUUGCUAGCUAAUCCAUGGAAACCAUGAAAUAGGUAAAAUUUACCAUAAAAUAGAUUCAGACAGCAGUAGUGAUGUGAAUUUGAAAAAUCACUAAAAAUAGUAGAAAUGAAAUUAAAUAAUGAAUAAGUUAUUGAAUUUAA